AUGGCGUGGACUCCUCUCGUCCUCGUACUCCUCUCUCACUGCACAGGUUCCCUCUCCCAGUCGGUGCUGACUCAGCUGCCCUCCCUCUCUGCAUCUCCUGGAGCAUCUGCCAGACUCACCUGCACCCUGAGCAGUGGUUUUAGUGUUUGUAGUUACAGGAUANACUGGUACCAGCAGAAGCCAGGGAGCCCUCCCCGGUGGUUCCUGUACUACUACUCAGACUCCGACAAGGAGUUGGGGCCUGGGGUCCCCAGUCGAGUCUCUGGGUCCAAAGAUAAGUCGAAGAACACAGCGUUUCUGCACAUCUCUGGGCUCCAGGCUGAGGACGAGGCCGUGUAUUACUGUCAGAUUGGGCUCAGUAGUGGUGCUCACAGUGACACGGGCAGAUGGGGAAGUGCGACAAAAACCUCAGGGCCUCUUUGUUGAUGUUAAAAAACAUGUAGUGGCAUUGUU